AUAUACUUAGCUCAAUGGUUGGAGCAUCACUCAUGAAUGCUGAGGUUGUGGUUUCAAAUGCCACAGUACACA
rnacentral:tRNA from 1 species